rnacentral:tRNA from 1 species
CGGCGUGUAGCGCAGCCUGGUAGCGCACUUGCUUCGGGAGCAAGGGGUCGGAGGUUCGAAUCCUCUCACGCCGA